rnacentral:rRNA from 1 species
AGUGAACGCUGGCGGUAGGCCUAACACAUGCAAGUCGUACGGCAGCACAGUAAGAGCUUGCUCUUACGGGUGGCGAGUGGCGGACGGGUGAGGAAUACAUCGGAAUCUACUUUUUCGUGGGGGAUAACGUAGGGAAACUUACGCUAAUACCGCAUACGACCUACGGGUGAGAGCAGGGGAUCUUCGGACCUUGCGCGAUUGAAUGAGCCGAUGUCGGAUUAGCUAGUUGGCGGGGUAAAGGCCCACCAAGGCGACGAUCCGUAGCUGGUCUGAGAGGAUGAUCAGCCACACUGGAACUGAGACACGGUCCAGACUCCUACGGGAGGCAGCAGUGGGGAAUAUUGGACAAUGGGCGCAAGCCUGAUCCAGCCAUACCGCGUGGGUGAAGAAGGCCUUCGGGUUGUAAAGCCCUUUUGUUGGGAAAGAAAAGCAGCAGGUUAAUACCCCGCUGUUCUGACGGUACCCAAAGAAUAAGCACCGGCUAACUUCGUG